CGGUCUGACGCCAAGCCUGUGGUGCGACUCAUCUCCUAGCCCCCUUUAUCCUCCCCAGGUAAUCACAGAAGCCUCUGGUCCACUCACCAGUUAUACUCCCAGCCAAGCAUAAACAUUGUGGGCCACCUGCGAGACCAAACAGCAGGAGAAGUCACGAGCGCAAUUUUUCGCAAACCGCGUGAACAUCAACUUUCCUUAUGUAGUCCUUUUCUGUUUUCAUUUUUUUCAUCUUUUUCCUCGACUCAACCUGCCUCCUUUUCUCCUGGGACAACAGAGACAGAUCAUGCCCGGACUGGUAACCACAUGAUCAAUGAUUCGGAGAAUCUCGACAUUGUUGGACUCCCUGUGAUGGUAUGGCUGCGGAGAGCUGCAACCCCAAGGAGCGACCUCAAACGUGGAGACGAAUGUGCCCCAGCGGAGAUAAGGAAAGAAACGAGAGGGUAACACAGAGAGUAAGAAAAAAACAACAAUCCAGCCUGCACCUUGUUGUCCAUUCACGUCUGGGCCUCCAACUUGAGCCAGGCCCAUCGCCACCAGCACCUGAUGCCUGCUUCAAGCUGUGCCACAUGAAAAGCAUCCUCCUCUUUAAGCACUCUCAUUCUAGAAAAGAAUUGACUAAAAUCAUUGUCUGUUUCACUUCGUUUUUCACUAUUACCAACUUCAAAGGCUAAUCCCGAAGGCAUCCUCCAGGAAAAUAUUAAGUGCAAUAUUUUUCUGUCUUUAUUGGCCAUUUCUGAAUUUGAAAAUAGUUCACUCUGUGUUGUGACAUAAUCCCUAACAUCGCUCCGUCGCUUAAUACAUUUAAGUUUAACAUCCGUAAAUGAAUUAGACAAAUGUCAGCGCGUUUCCUAAUGAAUACAAGAUGUACUAGUGGAUCAACUCUAGGCACGACAAUCAUUCGGGCUGGCUUAUCUAGUGUUAAUACCUAUGUCCGGGAAGCCCAAUGGAAGAUGUUGUGUGAGGUCAUGUGACUUUCUUGCCUCGUUUGAUUAGUGAACUAGACUUAAACGUCACUAGCGCUUAACCUGGAUUGGCGCAAACAGCGAAGUCGUAGUCUUGCGCACGAAAUAGUUGAUAAAUAAGCAAUAAUUGAUAAAUAAAAGUAGCGAGCAACAUUUAGAUCAUUGUAACGCAGUAAACGUACUGUUACUUCUUAACAGCAGCAGCGGCGGAAGUGUUUUUUCUUGUGUCGUCAACUCCUGUGACUCGCAUAUUAGUCCACCGCGGAGUAAUAUUCAGAAAUUAAAUCUGUGUGGAUGGUGGACGUGCGGAAUAGAUCUAGCUGCCAGCGUUCAAGGAGUACGAAACAGCCUAUGACGUCAGUGACGGCGACCCCCCUCACCCCUUCCAGGAAAAACUCAUCGGAUCUAUACGAUUCACGUAAAUGCGUUCAAAACGGCGAAUUUCGCCGAAAGACGUCUGAUUUGCAUGUAUGAUUACAGUUUAUUAGAUGAAAUAAACAGUUUUAAGUUUACAUGCACUUGACCUUUUCAGUGUUUAUACACAAUUGCAAUAUAUUUUACUUUUGUACUACAUAUAUACAAAUAAGUCACAGUAUGCACAUAUUUUUGUUUUCAGAUGCUUAAAAAUGGGAUGGGACAUACAACAUAUUUUGACAGGGCAUCAAAAAUAAAUAUUUCAAAACUGUCCAAAUUUACUUUUGAAUUAUUUGUGUAUUUUCAAAUCAAAUCGAAUUGCAAGCCUAAGGAAAAUUAAUGAGUGACUGGUGUCCAAGAAGGAGUCAUUUUUAGUACACUACAUGGAAAAAUGCAAUAAAUGAUACCACAAAGUCACAGUUGAUUUUAGUGAAUUAGGGAUAAGGUUAUGUUUACAUGCAAGAAAGCAGAGUACUCCACAUUCAGCGGUACACAUCAGUACGCUCGGUUAUUUCCUGCUUCUGUUGGCCAUUCUGCCAGAGGAGGUGAUUCCUCCACACUCCACGAUGUCUUCAGAUACUCGACUAUUUUUAGCUCCCUCAUUCAAACAUACUUGCCCUCCUCUUGACCGCCCGCCCGCCCUUUGAAACUCCCCAACUGAGUCAUUACCCUCUCCAUCACGUUUUCCCUGACACCUCAUUUGCUUUCUUUCUUUUGGUCAGCUUAAAAGUGAAACCUGUUCUGUUCAGCAACACUACUGGCAAAUGGACAAAAUGAAUCAAAGUAACAACAAUAAAUAACCCCCCCAAAAAACUAAACUAUUUACACUGCUUAUGAAAAGUCAACACACCCUUGUUCAAAUGCCAGUUUUUUUGUGAUGAAAAUGAAACCAAGAUAAAUCCUUUCAAAACGUCUUCCACCAUUAAUAUGUUCAUUCAUGAAAAACAUCCAGGUAAAGCUACAUUUUGUUGAACCUUUACAUUUUCGAGAAGGGAAGUAGAAAUAAACAGAUGCUGUGGCUACACAAGUGUACACACCAUCUUAUA